GAAAGAGAGAGAGAGACCCAAAGGAGAUGCUACUUUCAAAUCUUGCUAGCUUUUCAACAUUACCAACCCUGCCUUU